rnacentral:rRNA from 1 species
UGGGGAAUAUUGCACAAAUGGGCGCAAGCCUGAUGCAGCAACGCCGCGUGAGGGGCGACGGCCUUCGGGUGUAAACCUCUUUUAGUAGGGAAGAAGCGAAAGUGACGGUACCUGCAGAAAAACGCACCGGCUAACUACGUGCCAGCAGCCGCGGUAAUACGUAGGGUGCGAGCGUUGUCCGGAAUUAUUGGGCGUAAAGAGCUCGUAGGCGGUCUGUCGCGUCUGCUGUGAAAACCCGAGGCUCAACCUCGGGCCUGCAGUGGGUACGGGCAGACUAGAGUGCGGUAGGGGAGAAUGGAAUUCCUGGUGUAGCGGUGGAAUGCGCAGAUAUCAGGAGGAACACCGAUGGCGAAGGCAGUUCGUCUGGGCCGUAAGCUGACGCUGAGGAGCGAAAGCGUGGGGAGCGAACAGGAUUAGAUACCCUGGUAGUCCACGCCGUAAACGUUGGGCGCUAGAUGUGGGGACCAUUCCACGGUUUCCGU